rnacentral:rRNA from 1 species
ACUCAAAUGAAUAGACGGGGGCUCACACAAGCGGUGGAGCAUGUGGCUUAAUUCGAGGCUACGCGCAGAACCUUAUCCCGGGCUUGACAUGCACGGAUUAGGGUGCGGAAACGCAUCCGACGCCGCGAGGUGGAACGUGCACAGGUGCUGCAUGGCUGUCGUCAGCUCGUGUCGUGAGAUGUUGGGUUAAGUCCCGCAACGAGCGAAACCCCUGUGGUCAGUUGCCAGCACGUCAUGGUGGGAACUCUGACCAGACUGCCGGCGUGAAGCCGGAGGAAGGCGGGGACGACGUCAAGUCCUCAUGGCCCUUAUGCCCGGGGCUGCACACGUGCUACAAUGGGACGCACAAAGCGCAAACGCCAAGCCGUAAGGCCGAGCCAAUCGCGGAACUCGUCCCCCAGUUCGGAUCGCGGGCUGAAACCCGCCCGCGUGAAGCCGGAAUCGCUAGUAAUCGCGGAUCAGCACGCCGCGGUGAAUUCGUACCUGAGCCUUGUACACACCGCCCGU